rnacentral:rRNA from 1 species
GACGAACGCUGGCGGCGUGCUUAACACAUGCAAGUCGAACGGCAAGGCCCUGCUUUUGUGCGGUGCUCGAUUGGCGAACGGGUGAGUAACACGUGAGUAACCUGCCCUUCACUUUCGGAUAACUUCACGAAACUGGGGCUAAUACCGUAUAGGAUCUCCUGCUGCAUUGUGGGCGUUGGAAAGUUUCGGCGGUUGGGGAUGGACUCGCAGCUUAUCAGCUUGUUGGUGGGGUAGUGGCUUACCAAGGCUUUGACGGGUACCCGGCAUGAGAGGGUGAACGGCGACAAUGGGACUGAGAGACGGACCAGACGCGUACGGGAGGCAGCAGUGGGGAAUAUGGCACAAUGGGAGGAAGUCGGAUGAAGAAACGCCGCGUGCGGAAUGACGGCCUUCGGGGUGUAAACAGCUUUCGGCUGUGACGAAGCGGGAGUGACGGUAAUGGGUAAAGAAGCACCGGCUAACUACGUG